rnacentral:rRNA from 1 species
CUGACUGCUAUCGGAUGAUACUAAGCCAUGCGAGUCUUUGUAGUAAUACAAGGCAGACGGCUCAGUAACACGUAGUCAACCUACCCUAUGGACAAGAAUAAUCUCGGGAAACUGGGCAUAAUUCUUGAUAGAUCAUAAUGCCUGGAAUGGUUUAUGGUUAAAAUGAUUCGUCGCCAUAGGAUGGGACUGCGGCCUAUCAGCUUGUUGGUGAGGUAAUGGCCCACCAAGGCGAUUACAGGUACGGGCUCUGAGAGGAGAAGCCCGGAGAUGGGUACUGAGACACGGACCCAGGCCCUAUGGGGCGCAGCAGGCGAGAAAACUUUGCAAUGUGCGAAAGCACGACAAGGUUAAUCCGAGUGAUUUCUGCUAAAGAAAUCUUUUGCCAGUCAUAAAACCACUGGUGAAUAAGGGGUGGGCAAGUUCUGGUGUCAGCCGCCGCGGUAAAACCAGCACCUCAAGUGGUCAGGAUGAUUAUUGGGCCUAAAGCAUCCGUAGCCGGCUUUGUUAGUUUUCGGUUAAAUCCAUGUGCUCAACGCAUGGGCUGCCGAAAAUACUGCAUAGCUAGGGAGUGGGAGAGGUAGACGGUACUCAGUAGGAAGGGGUAAAAUCCUUUGAUCUAUUGAUGACCACCUGUGGCGAAGGCGGUCUACCAGAACACGUUCGACGGUGAGGGAUGAAAGCUGGGGGAGCAAACCGGAUUAGAUACCCGGGUAGUCCCAGCUGUAAACGAUGCAGACUCGAUGAUGCAUUGGCAUAAUAGCCAAUGCAGUGUCGCAGGGAAGCCGUUAAGUCUGCCGCCUGGGAAGUACGUACGCAAGUAUGAAACUUAAAGGAUUGGCGGGGGAGCACCACA